rnacentral:rRNA from 1 species
AGCGGGAGGGAUCAUUACCGAGGUUUACCACUCCCAACCCAAUGUGAACGUACAAACUGUGCCUCGCGGAUCUCUGCCCGGUGCGUCGCAGCCCGACAGCGCCGCCGAGACAACAAAACUCUUUUGUAUACCCCUCGCGGGUUUUAUAUCUGAGCCAUCUCGGCGCCUCUCGUAGGCGUUUCGAAAAUGAAUCAAAACUUUCAACAACGGAUCUCUUGGUUCUGGCAUCGAUGAAGAACGCAGCGAAAUGCGAUAAGUAAUGUGAAUUGCAGAAUUCAGUGAAUCAUCGAAUCUUUGAACGCACAUUGCGCCCGCCAGUAUUCUGGCGGGCAUGCCUGUCCGAGCGUCAUUUCAACCCUCGAACCCCUCCGGGGGGUCGGCGUUGGGGAUCGGCCCUUUACGGGGCCGGCCCCGAAAUACAGUGGCGGUCUCGCCGCAGCCUCUCCUGCGCAGUAGUUUGCACACUCGCAUCGGGAGCGCGGCGCGUCCAUUGCCGUAAAACACCCAACUUUCUGAAAUGUUGACCUCGGAUCAGGUAGGAAUACCCGCUGAACUUAAGCAUAUCAAUAAGCGGAGGAAAAGAAACCAACAGGGAUUGCCCCAGUAACGGCGAGUGAAGCGGCAACAGCUCAAAUUUGAAAUCUGGCCCCUCGGGGUCCGAGUUGUAAUUUGUAGAGGAUGCUUUUGGUGAGGUGCCGCCCGAGUUCCCUGGAACGGGACGCCACAGAGGGUGAGAGCCCCGUCUGGCUGGCCACCGAGCCUCUGUAAAGCUCCUUCGACGAGUCGAGUAGUUUGGGAAUGCUGCUCAAAAUGGGAGGUAUAUGUCUUCUAAAGCUAAAUAUUGGCCAGAGACCGAUAGCGCACAAGUAGAGUGAUCGAAAGAUGAAAAGCACCUUGAAAAGAGGGUUAAAUAGUACGUGAAAUUGUUGAAAGGGAAGCGCUUGUGACCAGACUUGGGCGCGGCGGAUCAUCCGGGGUUCUCUCCGGUGCACUUCGCCGCGUCUAGGCCAGCAUCAGUUCGUCGCGGGGGAAAAAGGUUUCGGGAACGUGGCUCCUCCGGGAGUGUUAUAGCCCGUUGCAUAAUACCCUGCGGUGGACUGAGGACCGCGCAUCUGCAAGGA